UCCCCUGAGGUGCAACAGGUAGCACGCCCGGCUGUUAACCGGGAGGACCAGGUUCGAGUCCUGGUGGGGGAG
rnacentral:tRNA from 1 species